rnacentral:rRNA from 1 species
AGUGAACGCUGGCGGUAGGCCUAACACAUGCAAGUCGAACGGCAGCACAGUAAGAGCUUGCUCUUACGGGUCGAGUGGCGGACGUGUGAGGAAUACAUCGGAAUCUACUUUUUCGUGGGGGAUAACGUAGGGAAACUUACGCUAAUACCGCAUACGACCUACGGGUGAAAGCAGGGGAUCUUCGGACCUUGCGCGAUUGAAUGAGCCGAUGUCGGAUUAGCUAGUUGGCGGGGUAAAGGCCCACCAAGGCGACGAUCCGUAGCUGGUCUGAGAGGAUGAUCAGCCACACUGGAACUGAGACACGGUCCAGACUCCUACGGGAGGCAGCAGUGGGGAAUAUUGGACAAUGGGCGCAAGCCUGAUCCAGCCAUACCGCGUGGGUGAAGAAGGCCUUCGGGUUGUAAAGCCCUUUUGUUGGGAAAGAAAAGCAGCAGGUUAAUACCCCGCUGUUCUGACGGUACCCAAAGAAUAAGCACCGGCUAACUUCGUG